UUACCCACGUGAGCAUCAUUGAAAUUAAAAAAUAAUCUGAGUAUGAGUAAAAUAUUAUUUGAAGAAUGAAGCAGCACUGCUACGGUGUGACUGCUGUCCUCAUGGCCAAGCUGGAAAGCUCUUUGAAACAGUCAAUAAAGUUUGGGGAGUGAUUGAGUGAGACUGAUAAAUAUACAGAACACAACCCAACACAACAACAAAUGUAUUAUUUCUUCUUUUCUAUUGUUGCCUUUCAUUCAAAUAAGCGAAAAGCAGGAGCCGUUUUGGUUUUGCUGAUUUCUCAGGUUAUUGUCUAAUUAUUAUUCAGUAUCUAUCAAAAAUAUCAUCUCCAAGAAAGUUCAAACUCAAAGAUAUAGUACAAUCACGUGGCUUAUCACAUGACCUCUCUGAAAUUUCUGUCUUCAUUUUCACCAAAUCCAAAGUCCGGACAAGGCCGGAUGCAGCAGCAGUCAAAAGGCAAGCACAUGAUCCCACAUGUACCCAAAAUGGCAUCGGAUCCCAAUAUCCUUUGCAUUUCUGACAUUAAUAAAAAAUGAAUCGAGACUCAUAUAAUUCACAUAUCACUCACAUAGCAUAGUAUCUUAGCUUUACUUCACUCACUAUGCUUCCAGUAUCGCUACCAUAAGAACCAAGAUUCUCCUUCCACUACCAUGAAGAGUUGGUCCCCAGCACUCGCUGCUCUUGCUCUCACACUGUCACUGCUAUUAUUAACCUGGUCAACCAGAGCCGGAGCUGAGGUUUUCCCAACACUACAAGUGCACUCUUGGCCGUCAAGCAAGACUUCAUCUUAUCGUCACGCUCAUAGGAAGAAUCUUUCUAAGCAGUUCGCUUCCAGUUUCCGAAGGAUACCUCCAAGCAAAUCGAAUCCGACACAAAACAAGUUCAAUCCUCCAACAUAUGGUUGACAGAACAAUCUUAUUUCUUUAGUUUUGUUUCAACUGCGACAAAAAUAACUGUUUGUGUAUACUCGUAUCUUACUUUCAAAUUGCCAAGUCCCAAUGUUUGUAUGUAUUGCAA